rnacentral:lncRNA from 1 species
AAAUGGGCUGUGAUUUUGUCAGUAUACAAAGGCUUUCCAAUUGCACUAGCUAAUUUGCUUAGUAUUUCUGAUGACCAAUAUCCCACUGGUAAGCCAGGAAAUCUAGCCCACACUAGAAUAGUACUAAGCACAGCAUUCUGAAAUGAAAAAUCCACAGUCCAUGGCUUAAGCACCAACGGCUUAUUUCUGUAGGAAUAAGGACCAUAUUGCAUUACUUGGUUCUUAUCCUC